AUUGAACGCUGGCGGCAUGCCUUACACAUGCAAGUCGAACGGCAGCACGGGGCAACCUGGUGGCGAGUGGCGAACGGGUGAGUAAUGCAUCGGAACGUACCUUUCAGUGGGGGAUAACGUAGCGAAAGUUACGCUAAUACCGCGUAUUCUGUGAGCAGGAAAGCAGGGGAUCGCAAGACCUUGCGCUGAUUGAGCGGCCGAUGUCAGAUUAGCUAGUUGGUGAGGUAAAGGCUCACCAAGGCGACGAUCUGUAGCGGGUCUGAGAGGAUGAUCCGCCAUACUGGAACUGAGACACGGUCCAGACUCCUACGGGAGGCAGCAGUAGGGAAUUUUGGACAAUGGGGGCAACCCUGAUCCAGCCAUGCCGCGUGAGUGAAGAAGGCCUUCGGGUUGUAAAGCUCUUUCGGCCGGGAAGAAAUCGCACGGGCUAAUACCCUGUGUGGAUGACGGUACCGGAAUAAGAAGCACCGGCUAACUACGUGCCAGCCGCCGCCGUAACAC
rnacentral:rRNA from 1 species